AUUGAACGCUGGCGGCAUGCCUUACACAUGCAAGUCGAACGGCAGCACGGGAGCAAUCCUGGUGGCGAGUGGCGAACGGGUGAGUAAUAUAUCGGAACGUGCCCAGUCGUGGGGAUAACGUAGCGAAAGCUACGCUAAUACCGCAUACGAUCUAUGGAUGAAAGCGGGGGAUCGCAAGACCUCGCGCGAUUGGAGCGGCCGAUAUCAGAUUAGGUAGUUGGUGAGGUAAAGGCUCACCAAGCCGACGAUCUGUAGCUGGUCUGAGAGGACGACCAGCCACACUGGGACUGAGACACGGCCCAGACUCCUACGGGAGGCAGCAGUGGGGAAUUUUGGACAAUGGGCGCAAGCCUGAUCCAGCAAUGCCGCGUGCAGGAUGAAGGCCUUGGUUGUAAACUGCUUUGUUACGGAACGAAACGGUAGAGCUCUAAUACAGUUUGCUAAUGACGGUACCGUAAGAAUAAGACACCGGCUAACUAACGU
rnacentral:rRNA from 1 species